rnacentral:misc_RNA from 1 species
GAUGAAGAACGUAGCGAAAUGCGAUAAGUAAUGUGAAUUGCAGAAUUCAGUGAAUCAUCGAAUCUUUGAACGCACAUUGCGCCCGCCAGUAUUCUGGCGGGCAUGCCUGUUCGAGCGUCAUUUCAACCAUCAAGCCCCCGGCUUGUGUUGGGGACCUGCGGCUGCCGCAGGCCCUGAAAAGCAGUGGCGGGCUCGUUGUCACACCGAGCGUAGUAGCAUACAUCUCGCUCUGGGCGUGCUGCGGGUUCCGGCCGUUAAACCACCUUCAUAACCCAAGGUUGACCUCGGAUCAGGUAGGAAGACCCGCUGAACUUAAGCAUAUCAAUAAGCGGAGGA